UUUCGGUAGGCAUAGAGUAUCUCUUACUGUUAGAUGGUGCACAGAAGAAACAGCCAACAGGUGCAUGAACACAAUCUUCCGGAAAACAAUAACAUAAUGACAGGUCACAAGCUACCACUACCGUACUAGGAAGCUACAAGCUAGUGUUUUCGAAAGUGGCAAUCAUGUGUACUACUAGCCUGUUCGCUUCAGGAAAAGAAAACAUCAAACCUGUAUAUCUGAG
rnacentral:lncRNA from 1 species